rnacentral:lncRNA from 10 species
GAGGGGAAUGCUGACCUCAUAGAAUGAGUUUGGAAGUAUUUCUUCCUCUUCCAUUUUUUUGAAGAAUUUGAGUAGAAUUGGUAUUAGUCCUUCUUUAAAUAUUUUGUAAAUUUUAGGAGUGAAGCCCUCAGGUCCUGGACUUUUCCUUGAGGGGAGACUUUUUAUUACAGCUUCAAUCUUGUUACUCAUUGUUGGUUUGUUUAAGUUUUCUAUUUCUUCAUGGUUCAAUCUUGGUAAGAGUGCUUCUCUGCUUUCAGGAUUCUCUCUGUCCUUGACAUUUGAAAGUUUGAUCGUAAUAUGACUUUUGGUAGUCUUAUUUAGGUCAGACACCUAUUUGGUGUUCUCUGACCUUCCUGUACUUAGAUAUUUUCCUCUUUAUUUAGUUUUGGAAGGUUUUCUGUUAUUGUGUAUUUAAAUAAGCUUUCCACUCUUUCCUCUUGCUCAACUCCCUCUUGAACACCAAUAAUUCUUGGGUUUAGUCUUUCAAGUUAAAUUUCUAUUUCUUUUUGGUGAUUAUUUCUUUAUAUCCUUUUUCUUUUUUCUCGUCUGUGUAUUUUCAAAUAGCCUAUCUUUGAACUCACUGAUUCUUUCCUCUGCUUAAGCCAUUCUGCUGCUUCUAAUGAAUUUUUGAUUCAGCAAAUGUAUUUCCCAGUUCCAAGAUUUCUGUCUGUUUGUUUUUAUUAGUUCAAUCUCAUUAUUAAAUCUCUCUGGUAAAUUUCUGAAUUGUUUUUCUGUGUUAUCCUGGAGAUUACUGAGUUUCCCUAAAACUGCUAUUUUGAAUUCUUGGUCAGAGUGAUCACAUAUCAGCAUCUAGUUAGAGUCAGUUGCUGGAUCCUGGCUUUGUUCCUUUGGAGAAAUGAUGGUUCCCUAUUUGCUAUUGUUUCUUGUGGAUAUAUGUCUAUGCCUUUGCAUUGAAGGAUUUAUUAUUUAUUCUAGUCUUUUUGUCUAAGUUGUUCGGGUUUUUAUUGGAUAUGUUUGCUUAGAGAUGCUUUGUAAUUUCUCUGUUGAUUUUCUUUUUCCUCUGCUUGGUCACUGCUUCUUUUCAGUACUAGAUGGUGUCUUACACCCAAGUCUCCCUUGAUUCUAGGAAACAAUCAGAGUGCUGCCAUCUCAAAUGAGAGAGGUCACAAAGGAGAUACUUAAUAGUAUUAGAAUGGUGCCUGUGCCUAAAGAUUCACGCCCAGUGACCUGUGGAACAAACCUUUUACAGUUUGAUGCUGCUGAACAGCCACUCUGAUUUGCCAUCUCUUUGACCAAGUUGCAGAGCAGAGCUUCCUGGGCUAAGAACAGUAGUCCAGCCUCUCCUCUUUGUCUCUAACUGUCUUCCAGGAUAUUUCUCCCUUUAGGUACUCCCAAUGCUUCCUGUGGGUUGAGGCAGGGACAGUUACCCUGCCAAAGAACCUGGGAUUAUGGAGAAGCUUGUUAUCACCUUGAUCGCACUUUUUCCAGUAUAGAAACUGGCAUUAUCUCCUCCAGUGCUCAGAUUGCACACUCAUGAGAGGUGAGCAAGCUUCCAAGAACAUCCAAUGCCGAUGCUCCAGAAAAGCCUUUAACAAAAGUCAGAGGUCCAUGAGUCUCGCUCUGUCGCCCAGGCUGGAGUGCAGUCACUGCAACAUAAGCCUCCCGGAUUCACACCAUUCUCCUGCCUCAGUCUCCUGAGUAGCUGGGACUACAGGCACCCGCCACCAUGCCCGGCUGAUUCUUUGUAUUUUUUAGUAGAGACGGGGUUUCACCGUGUUAGCCAGGAUGGUCUCGAUCUUCUGACCUCGUGAUCCCCCCGCCUUGGCCUCCCAAAGGGCUGGGAUUACAGGCGUGAGCCAUCGCGCCCGGCUGGUAAUUUUCAUUCUUAUAAUUGCUGACUAGUUGAGAAGAAGAGGUCCCAAACUACAGAGAAGAAAGGAAGAAAGAUGUGUCCAGUGAAAUCCAGGGUCCCCCCGCUCCCAUUCAAGGCCAUCUGAAAGUAUCUCCCCCUGCUUUUCAAGUUCAUCGAAUAUGUUUAAGAAACCUGGAAUUUCCAAGUCCAUCAGCCUAUUGAAACAAAACAGCUAUAACUAUAAAAUUUAGAUCCUUUUAAGAUUUUCAAUCCUUAGAAUUAAAGAUAUUUAUUACAAAAUAUAGUUGUAUUAAAUCAUAUAUGUCAAAAUAUUACAAACGUGUAUUUCAUAUUAGAUAACUAUCAACAACACAAAAUUUCCUAUCAUUUUUCCUAGUGCUCCAUUUUUUCAGACCUUUUCUUAAUCUAUUUUCUUGUCUGAGACCAAAUACAAAUGAAUCAAAAGCCAUUUCAGUGUUACAUAUUGGGUUUCCACGCAUCCCUGUAGCAUCUUUAUCAGUAGCCUUGCGCAGAGUACACACUUUUGUACCUCCUUCUUAUUAGCAACUUCAUUUUUUCAUAGUACAGAAAAGAAUUCAUAUAACCCCAUCAGGUUCCUUACAUGGACCCAAGUUAAAACGCAUCAUCUCAAUGUCAGUCUCUUGGCUGUCUGCAGGGUAAUAUGGUGAAUUGCUGCCUGUGCUGUAAUUUUGUCAGCUCUUUAGUAAAUUACAGUCAAGGAUAAAGAGGACAGAGCUGCCUACUGACAAACAACAUUCUUUAUUCUCCUUUUUCUACAAUGUACUGAAUAAUACCUUAGAGCGUAAGUCAUCAUAUACCCUAUAUAACAAAUGUAUAAUUACAACACAUGAAGCCCAAAAAAUGAGCUUCAAAGAAUAUCACGUUUUUUUUUAAACAGGAAGUGGAAAGAUGUUUCAGAAGAGUGAGCACAGGUUUUAGACUCUGAAAUCUUUUAGCAGCAUGAUGCUUUUGAACAUCUGAUCUAGGUUUUGAUUCUGCUAGCUACAUGUAUAUUUUAGCCUUUGGUCUUGCAUUAAAACACCAGUUGCAAAUAAUGUUAGAAAAAUGGGGAAUAGAGGAAGGAAUAUUUUUAUUUACUUUAUUUUUAAAAUUCUGCAUAUAUAAAGAACGUUGCUUGUGGCAUCCCUGACUCUUUGCAACAACCUUAUAAAGUCGUCAUUAUUAGCCUCAUGUUACAGCAGAAGCUGUGAGUUGCUGCCAAAGUUGCUUACUAUCAACCUCUGAAGAGAUGAAACAGAGAGUCAUACAAGAUCUGUUUAAAUCCAACAGCCUUUGACACUUUAAACUUCAGAACACAUUGGAUUUACACGUGUAAAAUUGCCUUAGAGUUUGUAAUUUCAUGAAAGCAAAAAUUCAACUUUUCCUUAAGAACAAAUUUAGCAUGUAUGCCUUGAAACUGGCUUAUUAAAUAAUAUGAAAAUGUUCAUUGUGGCUAUUUGGCCUCCUAAUGCUUAGUUUUAUUUAGCAAACAUCAAAACAAAAUAUGUAUUAAUCCAAAGCAAAUAUAUUUUAUUUAAUUGGAUUAUUAAUAGUUCACUAACAUCAUACUGUAGGUAUUUUU